rnacentral:lncRNA from 1 species
GGGGGCCACCUGCAGACACACCCUGGCUUCGGGACCGUCUUCCUUCUCUUCCCCCUCGGGGCCUAGAGGAGGCCACGCGCGGGGUCUCCGAGCUCUAGGGUCCGGAGCUCUAGGGUCCUUUUAUGUAGCAAAGUCAGGCCUGGGAACAGAACUUCAUGUGCUUGUAAAAAGUCUCAGGUGCGUCCUCGUUGUUUUAGAGACUUGGAGAGGAAUGGGGGCGGGGGGAACAAAAUCCGAGGACAGUCGAGCCAAGAAAAGUCGGGGCUUCUAGGAUGCCAACCACGCCAAACAGAUCAAAACCAGGACUGGAGGACUGAAGAUGAAGCCGGCAAAAAGUCACCAGCCACGGCUCUUGUAAGGUAUGCUUCACCUCUCCUGCUAAGUCUUCAUCCCUGUCUAUGAGGACAAAGAAGUUACGGGUUAAAUUGGCGAUGGGCCAGGCGCUCCUUGAGGAUGCUCUAAAGUUCCAGGGAAUCUGAUGCCUUCUUCUAACCAUCACGAAGACAAGUUGGUGAUAGAAAAUGGGAGAACUGAAGACAACCACUUUAUAAAACCCUUGCCUGCUUGAAUUUGUGGUGAUGAGCUGUCAGAAGACACCGGCACAGGAAGUGAAGGGGCAGGAUCGCCACUCCUCCCAGUUUGCUCUGAACUGUGAGCCCCACUGAAAGGGUCAGCUUUCUUUGGUGCUCUGGCUCAGACAGCACUGUCACGAACCG